AUCCUCCUGCCUCAGCCUCUCAAGUAGCUGGGACUACAGAAACCCUGGACCAACUCCUUGAUUGCACCUGUGAGAGGCCCUGAAGCGGAGGGCCCAGCUAAGGUGUGUCUGGAUUUCUGACCCACAGAAACUGAGAUCAUAAAUGUGUGGUUUUAAGCCCUACUCCAGCACUUUCACAGUCAUUUACGGCAUCUGCAGAGCAGUGAAAAAUUUGAAUUGCCUGAGAUACAUGCUCCCUGCUGAAGUCGCACAAGCUGGCCAAUCCUGCUAAUCCUUUAAAACUCACCUGGAGGGAAGGCCUCCUUCUGCAAAGCCUCUCUUGAUGCAGAUUAUCAGCUUUCACUCUCUACCAGAUGGCAAGGAUAUUGCUGUUGGCUCAUAGGAUGUGAACAGUGGUGUUGAGAUUACCCUCAUUUGGCUGAUGAUGUCAUUGAGGCCCAGAGAAGGUAGGACACCUGGCAGGGCCUGGCUUUGGGGCUAACUUCUGCAGCUCUUUUGAUUGCCCCCACCUUACAGUUUUUGGCACAGAGCACUGUGUAGCUGGCACUUCUCUACUGGCCCGAAUGAGAAAACUUCCUCAGAGCAAAAUGUCAAGCACCAAAUAAGAUUCAUGUUUACUGUGAAGUGAUUGCUGCUUUUUAAAUGCUUAUCAGAAGCCGAAGGACAAACUCAGUAGGUUGAUUCAUGCUGAGCUCGACUACCUCCGUGAGAAAUGACUCUCCUGUAGGGCUCGAUGACCUUCAUGUCAAUGCGCUGCUCUUGUUCUCCA
rnacentral:lncRNA from 1 species